CAUGCCUGACAGAUAUGAUUAGUAUGGUGUGUAGCAUCACAACCAGCAGCCUGGUUGUCAAUCAUCUGUCUCACUUUAUGACUAUGAAGAUGACUCUUGAGUCCAGCUUUACUGAGGCAGUGUUUUUCACAGCGGUUCGGCAAAAGAGACCGAUAGAAUAAGUACUGGGCUUA